rnacentral:rRNA from 1 species
AAUCAACGCUGGCGGCGUGCCUCAGACAUGCAAGUCGAACGCGAAAGUCCCCUUCGGGGGAGUGAUUAGAGUGGCGCACGGGUGAGUAACACGUAGGUAAUCUACCUUCGAGUGGGGAAGUAACUCAGGGAAACUUGAGCUAAUACCGCAUAAUGCAGCGGCACCACAUGGUGACAGUUGUUAAAGCAUUUAUGCGCUUGAAGAGGAGCCUGCGGCGGANAGCUAGUUGGUAAGGUAAUGGCUUACCAAGGCACGAUCUGUAACCGGCCUGAGAGGGCGGACGGUCACACUGACACUGAAUAACGGGUCAGACUCCUACGGGAGGCAGCAGUCGGGAAUUUUGGGC